AUGGCUCAGGAUUAACGCUGGCGGCGUGCCUAAUACAUGCAAGUCGAAUGGUAGCAAUACCAUGGCGAACGGGUGAGUAACACGUAGGUAACCUGUCUUUAAGCCGAGGAUAACCAUUGGAAACGAUGGAUAAUACUGGAUAGGACAUUUGAAGGCAUCUUUAGAUGUUUAAAGAUUUAUCACUUAGAGAGGGGCCUGCGGCGCAUUAGCUAGUUGGUGAGGUGAAGGCUUACCAAGGCGAUGAUGCGUAGCCGGACUGAGAGGUUGAACGGCCACAAUGGAACUGAGAACGGUCCAUACUCCUACGGGAGGCAGCAGUAGGGAAUUUUCGGCAAUGGGCGGAAGCCUGAACCCGAGCAACGCCGCGUGAACGAAGAAGUAUUUCGGUAUGUAAAGUUCUUUUAUUAGGGACGAAAAGACAGAUUGACGGUACCUAAUGAAUAAGCUCCGGCUAACUACGUGCCAGCAGCGGC
rnacentral:rRNA from 1 species